AAGGAGUUAGCUUAAUUAGAAGAGUGCUCGGCUUCCGAAGCCAAGAGACAUUGGUGCAAUUCCAAUACUCCUUGCCA
rnacentral:tRNA from 1 species